rnacentral:rRNA from 1 species
UACAGAGGGGGCAAGCGUUAUUCGGAAUUAUUGGGCGUAAAGGGCGCGUAGGCGGCUUUGCAAGUGACGGGUGAAAGCCCUCGGCUUAACCGAGGAACUGCCUGUCAGACUGUAAGGCUUGAGACCGGGAGAGGUGAGUGGAAUUCCCAGUGUAGCGGUGAAAUGCGUAGAUAUUGGGAGGAACACCAGUGGCGAAGGCGGCUCACUGGACCGGAACUGACGCUGAGGCGCAAAAGCGUGGGGAGCAAACAGG